rnacentral:misc_RNA from 1 species
AACGCACAUUGCGCCCAUUAGUAUUCUAGUGGGCAUGCCUGUUCGAGCGUCAUUUCAACCCUCAAGCAGUUCUCUUGUAGGUGCUUGGUGUUGGAGCUUUCCACAGACAUUCGUGCUGUGGGCUCUGAAAAUGAGUGGCGGGCUCACUGUAGAUCCCGAGCGCAGUAAUUUUAUUCUCGCUUAGGGCGUCUCAGUGGAUUCCAGCCGUAAAAUUAUUCAAUUUUACAAAAGGUUGACCUCGGAUCAGGUAGGAAUACCCGCUGAACUUAA